AUCAGUUUUAUCUUUGUCCUUUAAUUAAUGCUAGAAACAGAUUUUUUAGAUAAAGAUCGAUUUUUUUAUAUAACGCUGUAAACACCGUAAACAUUUGAUGUAAACAGCGUUUACAUUUUCUGUCUUUGGCUUUAUAUAAGUGGGAUUUCUCAUGAAGAAUCUUUUGAGAAAAAUAUUAAAAAGUCGUUACAAUUAAUAUCAACUUUGCAUUUUUCCGUUUAGCUUAGUUUUAUUUUUUUUCUAAUUUUUCAUUUUUCAGUCAUUUCUAGAAGUUUCUUCACUCAAAGUUCACACUUCCUCUGGAUCUAAGAAUGAUCUAAAACAUCUGGAUUAUAAAUAUUAAGCAAAAACACUUUCCUGAUGCGGCUAUUAGUGCGAUUCUUACUCUUAAUGUCCAGAACCUUCAUAUAAAAUAAAGUCUAUAAGUUUAUAAAUUUCAGAAAAUCGCACAUGUGGAAUUUAUUCGCAUUAAAAGGCCUCCAGGAAGCGCAUUAAUUACCGGAUUAUUUUUAUUUGUUUAUAUUUUAUAGGAAAGGAGCGUGUGUAUACGAAAGCUGACCAGACUGAUGAAAAUAAUCUGAUACAACACAGAUACUCCAACCUUUCAGCCGGGGAAACCCCGCCCCCUGCAGACUCGACCCGCACUGACGUCACACAGUGGGCGGGGCUUGUGUAAUGCAGCAAAAACCACAGACCCGUAACACCUACAGCGCUAAAUGAUUCUUUCUUUUUUAAGAGGAGAGAAACUGUGAUGAGGAGUUAAAGUCCACACGGAGCUCAGAGAGACAGGAACAGACACGAGAGCCGAAAGUAGUGCAGCGUGGAGAGAAUCAGGACACGAGAGAGAAGAAGAGCACGACGUCAGGACCGA